ACGUUGUUCAGGAUCCGAGGUGUGGGAAUGCAGGACACAUUUGGGAAAUUGUGAAUAAUUAGGAAUGGCUGGACAAAAGGCAGAGAACAGGGAGAGGUCUUCAGUUUCUCCAUCUUAGACGCACAGGAGGAAACAGAGGAAGUCAUUCUAUGUGCUACACAGACACGGCCAAAUGGACCACUUUCUCCGUAACCAAAUGGGACGGUUUCCAUUCUGAACAUGUACAGUUUGUGUCCCAAUUUCCCAGUUGAGGUCUAAGCAGCAAUGACAGAAUGAGCUUGAAUCCCUGUGCGAAGAUCAGCCUACAUCGGCAAUCAAGGAGAUGCCCCUGCCCUCAUCUGACCGGCAGAAUUUGUGGAAGAAGAAAUGGCAUCCACUGAAACAUUUGUCUCACCAGCUCCUCGUUUCCUGCUUCCUCUGACCCUUUGCCCCCUCCCCCGACAUACCCUCUGGGAGUUCAGUAAAUAUUUGUGGAUGAAGAUGACCAUUGCUAAAAAUAUGUUCCGAUUGGUGGGACUUGUCUCUUGCCACUUGAGUAUCCUAAAUCCAUGAGAACUGAUUCCCAGAUGUCUCCCCUCUGUCUUAAUAAAGUUUUAUCGCCCAUCCCUUAUCAGAGAAGAUGUGUGUGUGUGUGUGUGUUUUCUAUGUGUGUGUGAAUGUGGUGUGUGUGUGUGUGUGUACACAUGCAUGCAUGACUGUGUGUGCUGUAUGCCUGUGGGGGGUGUGCACACACAAGUGUGACUAUGUGUGGUAUGUAUGUGUGUGUGCAUGUGGUGUGUAUAUG